UGAGGAAUAUUGGUCAAUGGGCGAGAGCCUGAACCAGCCAAGCAGCGUGCAGGAUGACGGCCCUAUGGGUUGUAAACUGCUUUUAUAUGGGAAUAAAGUGAGGGACGAGUCCCUUAUUGCAUGUACCAUAUGAAUAAGGACCGGCUAAUUCCGCGCCAGCAGCCGCGGUAAUACGGAAGGUCCAGGCGUUAUCCGGAUUUAUUGGGUUUAAAGGGAGCGUAGGCUGUUUGUUAAGCGUGUUGUGAAAUGUAGGAGCUCAACUUUUAGAUUGCAGCGCGAACUGGCAGACUUGAGUGCGCACAACGUAGGCGGAAUUCAUGGUGUAGCGGUGAAAUGCUUAGAUAUCAUGACGAACACCGAUGGCGAAGGCAGCUUACGGGAGCGCAACUGACGCUAAAGCUCGAAGGUGCGGGUAUCAAACAGG
rnacentral:rRNA from 1 species